rfam:Paucibacter sp. KCTC 42545, complete genome.
CUUCUUCAAUCUGCUGCGGGCAGAUGAAGUGGAUAUGGGUGUCCACCGCACCGGCGGUGACGAUCAUGCCCUCGCAGGCAAUCACCUCGGUGCCGGGGCCGAUGAUGAUGUCCACCCCGUCUUGCGUGUCUGGAUUGCCAGCCUUGCCGAUCGCGACGAUGCGGCUGUUCUUCAGGCCGAUAUCGGCCUUGAUGAUGCCCCAGUGGUCGAGGAUCAGGGCAUUGGUCAGCACCGUGUCCACCGCACCUUCGUCCCGCGUGCGCUGCGACUGCGCCAUGCCGUCGCGUAUG